AUGGAGAGCAAGAGAUCGCCGUGCGCGCCGGCCGUGGCGGUGCUCCUCCUCCUCCUGUUCGUCCUCAUGCCGGACGAGGCGGACGCCCAGGUGUUCUGCCGGUCCCAGUUCAACCUGGCCAACGAGGCCUGCAGCCUGCGGACUUACCCCGGCGCCAACCCGGCGGUGCCCCCGCGGCGGCCACUUCUUCUCAACGCCUCAUCGUCCGCCAGCGGCUACGAGCUGCAGGCGGCCGGCGACGAGCACAGCGCCAGCGGCGGCCAUGGCGGCGACCACGGCGGCAGCCAUGGCGGCGAGCACGGGAGCAGCCACGGCAGCGAGCACGGGGGCAGCCACGUCAGGCGCCGCCAUGGGCACCAGCACCACGUAGGAGGCGCGGACCCGUACGACACGGCGUGCUGCCGGCGCCUCAUGGGCAUCGACAACGCCUGCAUCUGCCAGGCCAUGUCCUUCCUCCCGCAGUUCAUGAGCAGGGUCAAGCACUCCAUCAAGCUCACCCCAGUCCCAGGCUGCGACAUCUCCUUCGAGUGCGCCGGCGUCUACUGA
rnacentral:rRNA from 1 species